rnacentral:rRNA from 1 species
AACGAACGCUGGCGGCGUGCCUAACACAUGCAAGUCGUGCGAGAAAGUUCCUUCGGGAGCGAGUAAAGCGGCGCACGGGUGAGUAACACGUAGGUAACCUGCCCCUAAGUCUGGAACAACUAGAGGAAACUCUAGCUAAUGCCGGAUAAGACCACGAUCCCCCUCGGGGGUUGCGGCCAAAGAUGGCCUCUACUUGUAAGCUAUCGCUGAGGGAUGGGCCUGCGGGCCAUUAGCUUGUUGGUGAGGUAACGGCUCACCAAGGCUGUGAUGGCUAGCUGGUCUGAGAGGAUGACCAGCCACACUGGGACUGAGACACGGCCCAGACUCCUACGGGAGGCAGCAGUGGGGAAUAUUGCGCAAUGGGCGAAAGCCUGACGCAGCGACGCCGCGUGGGUGAUGAAGGCCUUCGGGUCGUAAAGCCUGUCGCAGGGAGAAUAAGCGGAGGGAGUAAUACAAGCUUGCUAAUGACGG